CGAACGGUUAAACCGCCCUCGGGCGGACAUACAGUGGCGAACGGGUGAGUAACACGUGACCAACCUGCCCCGCGCUCCGGGACAACCGCUGGAAACGGCGGCUAAUACCGGAUACUCCGCGGCCCCCGCAUGGGGGCGGCGGGAAAGCCCCGACGGCGCGGGAUGGGGUCGCGGCCCAUUAGGUAGUAGGCGGGGUAGAGGCCCACCUAGCCGACGAUGGGUAGCCGGACUGAGAGGUCGAUCGGCCACAUUGGGACUGAGAUACGGCCCAGACUCCUACGGAAGGCAGCAG
rnacentral:rRNA from 1 species